rnacentral:lncRNA from 1 species
GGAAACAAUCCAACACGGAGACUGUUUUGACUAGACAUAUGGUAGAAAUGCAUUACUCUAUGACUAAGGACGAGCAGUCCAACCGGGGGACUAUUGCUUCCCAGCACACACGGCAAAAUCGCAUUACCGUGAGGCUGAAUCCUUUCAUAGGCGUGCAGACUGCCCCGUUAAGGGUGGCCGGGUCCCGACACCUCAGAAGAGUUACCGCGUGUCAAAUAUAUCCAAGUAUCUAGUAACAAGGGAGGUACAUAUAAUAGUGCAAUCAAUACCCGAUAUGCCAAAACCAAUAUUCCAAAAUCAUAGCCCAACAAAAUGUACCAAUUCCCCCCCCCAAAAAAAAAAAAAAUUUUUAAUUUCCAAUAAUCAUCUCUGAAAUCCAUAUUCUCAAAUUCACAAUAAUCAAUUCCAUACACAUCUCG